rnacentral:lncRNA from 1 species
CUAUCACAGGGUCUGGAACAUAUUAGGUUCUGUCAAUAGAAGAUACUAAAGAAAGAAAGCCAGGAGAAGAAAAGAGACUUCUUUCUUCAAGGUCUAAGCUGUUCUAAUAGCAUUAUUCUGGGAAUGGCAUCUUCCACUCCUCCUAGUACAAAGAACCUGCUUCCUCAUACCCCGUCAAGGAACUGCAGCAUCCAGGUGAUGGCCACAGUGGCAGAACCUAGGAAGCCAAGAAGAAACCAGAGAAUGGAGACACAUGGCAGCAAUGGCAAGUCAUCAGACCCAGGAUUUCCCAAAGAACACUGGUCCAGGAAGAUGCUCUGUGAAAAAGUGUUCCCUGGUCAGAGAAAUUUGUGAAACACUUUGCAUACUUAAAAG